rnacentral:rRNA from 1 species
ACACAUGCAAGUCGAACGGAGCUAUGUUGAAAGCUUGCUGGAUAUAUAGCUUAGUGGCGGACGGGUGAGUAACACGUGAGCAACCUGCCUUUCAGAGUGGAAUAACGUUUGGAAACGAACGCUAAUACCGCAUAACGUCAGAGGAUGGCAUCAUUCUUUGACCAAAGAUUUAUCGCUGAAAGAUGGGCUCGCGGCCGAUUAGGUAGUUGGUGAGAUAAUAGCCCACCAAGCCGACGAUCGGUAGCCGGACUGAGAGGUUGAACGGCCACAUUGGGACUGAGACACGGCCCAGACUCCUACGGGAGGCAGCAGUGGGGGAUAUUGCACAAUGGGGGAAACCCUGAUGCAGCGACGCCGCGUGAGGGAAGACGGCCUUCGGGUUGUAAACCUCUGUCUUCGGGGACGAAUAAAUGACGGUACCCGAGGAGGAAGCCACGGCUAACUACGUGCCAGCAGCCGCGGUAAUACGUAGGUGGCAAGCGUUGUCCGGAAUUACUGGGUGUAAAGGGAGCGUAGGCGGGGAGGCAAGUUGAAUGUCUAAACUAUCGGCUCAACUGAUAGUCGCGUUCAAAACUGCCACUCUUGAGUGCAGUAGAGGUAGGCGGAAUUCCUGGUGUAGCGGUGAAAUGCGUAGAUAUUAGGAGGAACACCAGUGGCGAAGGCGGCCUACUGGG